rnacentral:rRNA from 1 species
UACGGAAGGCAGCAGUGGGGAAUAUUGCACAAUGGGCGAAAGCCUGAUGCAGCUAUGCCGCGUGUAUGAAGAAGGCCUUAGGGUUGUAAAGUACUUUCAUCGGGGAGGAAAAAACCAAAACUAAAUAAUUUUAUUUCUUGACGUUACCCGAAAAAGAAGCACCGGCUAACUCCGUGCCAGCAGCCGCGGUAAUACGGAGGGUGCUAGCGUUAAUCAGAAUUACUGGGCGUAAAGAGCACGUAGGUGGUUUUUUUAAGUCAGAUGUGAAAUCCCUGGGCUUAACCCUAGGAACUGCAUUUUGAAACUGAAAUACUAGAGUAUCGUAGAGGGAGGUAGAAUUCUAGGUGUAGCGGUGAAAGUGCGUAGAUAUCUGGAGGAAUACCUGUGGCGAAACGCGGCCUCCUAAACCGAAUAACUGACACUGAGGGUGCGAAAGCGUGGGGAGCAAACAGGAUUAGAUACC